ensembl:lncRNA
CCUAUUGCCAUCAAUGUUGUUUGAGUUUAUAUUGAAAUCUUAUACUUGAUUGCAAGAGACUUAAUUAAAGUAUCCUUUUGCUUUCCAUUUAAUUGCAUUGCUGCCUAGGAGAAGUAACAGUGAUGUAAUUAUAAACAGAUCUCUUUUUUCCCUGCGGGUUUACAGCAUACCCUGAGGAAGGUGAAUCCUGUAGCAGAGCCUUAUCUCUGGAGCAGCCCAGCAGACACUGCAGCAUCAGCCUCCACAACCAUCUGCACAACAACAAGCUCAAUCAGCCGAGACUUUCUCCACUGGUUUGUGGAAUCAACCUGGUCAGUGGUACCAAUGAGGUCCAGUCUGUCUCUGACAAACACAGCUCCUUCCCAAACCCACAUCAAAAACUCAACCAGAUGUUUCAUGAAGUACCAAUAAAUCACCACGGUAAGAAAGCUAUUCUGUGUUACCUUCAUUAAUGUAAAAAAAAAAAAAAAAAAAAACUGGUGCAAGGCAUUCUUCACUCUGCUGCUUUAUACUCCCAAUAUUUCCGCAAACUGACAACUUGUUGGCACUAAUGCUGGAAUAUGCAUUAACUUUACAAAACACAGCAGCGUUAGUCAGCAAAGUAAGUCUGGGACAAAUACCUCCUUCAACCGAUUUUACAGCCUGUUUCAGGAAGGCCUUCAUUUACGGGAACAGAGCAUUUCAUGAAGAGGCUCAUUGUUGCUGUUAAAGAUUUAUAGUUGCAUUUGCUUGUUUCCCAUUGUCUACGUGGUUAGUUUAUAAUAACGAGUGGUAAUGAUUUAAAUCUGGCUCUGUUAAAUCAGUGUUCGACGACAGCUCGAAAACCACUAAAUUAGAUCAGUUAAUCAGAUCCAUGUGCAUGUUAACUGGAUCUAAGCAGGAAAAAAGAUGAUUAGACCCGUUUGUAAACAAAAUGUGAUUUUAUUUUGGAUGCUCCAUAAAUCCUUUAAUUAAAUAUUGAGGUGAUUUAAUUUUAAAAAGAUGUUUCUUCUUCUUUUCUUUUUUUAUUGGGGGAAUAUAAACUAAUAUGAAGUAUCAAACAGCAAUAAAAUGUGUUUAGCUAAUUCUGUACUUUCUGUG